UACGGGAGGCAGCAGUGGGGAAUAUUGCACAAUGGGCGCAAGCCUGAUGCAGCCAUGCCGCGUGUAUGAAGAAGGCCUUCGGGUUGUAAAGUACUUUCAGUCGUGAGGAAGGUGUUAAGGUUAAUAACCUUAGCAAUUGACGUUAGCGACAGAAGAAGCACCGGCUAACUCCGUGCCAGCAGCCGCGGUAAUACGGAGGGUGCGAGCGUUAAUCGGAAUUACUGGGCGUAAAGGGCACGCAGGCGGUUAAUUAAGUUGGAUGUGAAAUCCCCGGGCUUAACCUGGGAAUGGCAUUCAAGACUGGUUAGCUAGAGUCUUGUAGAGGGGGUAGAAUUCCAUGUGUAGCGGUGAAAUGCGUAGAGAUGUGGAGGAAUACCGGUGGCGAAGGCGGCCCCUGGGACAAAGGCUGACGCUCAUGUGCGAAAGCGUGGGGAGCAAAC
rnacentral:rRNA from 1 species